rnacentral:rRNA from 1 species
ACAGCAGCAGCCGCGGGAAUACGGAGGGUGCAAGCGUUAAUCGGAAUUACUGGGCGUAAAGCGUGCGUAGGCGGUUCGUUAAGUCUGUUGUGAAAGCCCCGGGCUCAACCUGGGAAUGGCAAUGGAUACUGGCGAGCUAGAGUGUGUCAGAGGAUGGUGGAAUUCCCGGUGUAGCGGUGAAAUGCGUAGAGAUCGGGAGGAACAUCAGUGGCGAAGGCGGCCAUCUGGGACAACACUGACGCUGAGGCACGAAAGCGUGGGGAGCAAACAGGAUUAGAUACCCCGGUAGUCCCUGUCUCUUAUAC